UUCUUGGUGGCGGACUCGGUGGAGUCACCUCAUGGGAUUUCCAAGAUGGUUUCUAGAUGGUGGUGAUUGAGGUCACCCAACAGGAAUCCAAAAUGGCUGCUACA